CCCCACCCCCAUCCCCAGAGAUGCACAGAAGAAAGACAGUGAGUGAUUCACAGCCCUGCUCUGAUGAAGAAGCCUGCUCAGAAGUCUUCCUCCCCACCGACAGUGACUACGACUCCAGCGAUGCCCUGAGCCCCAGAGACCUGGACCUGGUCUACCUAUCAUCUCACGACAUUGCGCAGCAGACCCUUAGCGGCCUAAGCGGCAGCGCCCCCGACGUCCUGCAAGUGCACGAAGUGAAAACCCCACUGGGGACGGGCCAGGAUCCCCACGGCGAGGGCCCAAAUCCCGAUCGCUCAUGUGCCGAGUUUCUCCAUAGCCUGACCCUCACGGGGUUCACACCCAAGAACCACGCCAAG
rnacentral:lncRNA from 1 species